rnacentral:rRNA from 1 species
GAUGAACGCUGGCGGCGUGCUUAACACAUGCAAGUCGAACGAAGCACUUAAGAUUGCUUCUUCGGAUGACGUCUUUUGUGACUUAGUGGCGGACGGGUGAGUAACGCGUGGGUAACCUGCCUCACACAGGGGGAUAACAGUUAGAAAUGACUGCUAAUACCGCAUAACCCGAUAGGAUCGCAUGAUCCAGACGGAAAAGAUUUAUCGGUGUGAGAUGGACCCGCGUCUGAUUAGCUAGUUGGUGAGGUAACGGCCCACCAAGGCGACGAUCAGUAGCCGGCCUGAGAGGGUGAACGGCCACAUUGGGACUGAGACACGGCCCAAACUCCUACAGGAGGCAGCAGUGGGGAAUAUUGCACAAUGGGGGAAACCCUGAUGCAGCGACGCCGCGUGAGUGAAGAAGUAUUUCGGUAUGUAAAGCUCUAUCAGCAGGGAAGAAAAUGACGGUACCUGACUAAGAAGCCCCGGCUAACUACGUG